rnacentral:rRNA from 1 species
GAAAAACCAGAAAAGAAAUGGGAAAAAAACAACUUU